rnacentral:rRNA from 1 species
UGGGGAAUUUUGGACAAUGGGCGAAAGCCUGAUCCAGCAAUGCCGCGUGCAGGAUGAAGGCCUUCGGGUUGUAAACUGCUUUUGUACGGAACGAAACGGCGAGCUCUAAUAAAGUUUGCUAAUGACGGUACCGUAAGAAUAAGCACCGGCUAACUACGUGCCAGCAGCCGCGGUAAUACGUAGGGUGCGAGCGUUAAUCGGAAUUACUGGGCGUAAAGCGUGCGCAGGCGGUUAUAUAAGACAGAUGUGAAAUCCCCGGGCUCAACCUGGGACCUGCAUUUGUGACUGUAUAGCUAGAGUACGGUAGAGGGGGAUGGAAUUCCGCGUGUAGCAGUGAAAUGCGUAGAUAUGCGGAGGAACACCGAUGGCGAAGGCAAUCCCCUGGACCUGUACUGACGCUCAUGCACGAAAGCGUGGGGAGCAAACAGGAUUAGAUACCCUGGUAGCUGAGCGGGCUGGCAAGGCGCAU